CCCAUUUUCUUCCCCCAUUAAUUCAACUUCCACCCACCCUCUCUCAUCCUCCAUUAAUCUUCAAAACCGCAAAACCUAGCCGCCGCUUCAAAACCACAAAAACCACCCUCUCUUCGCGACGAAUGGCGUACACCCAGGCAAAUCGGUGAGUCUACAAUUCCGACGACCGAGGUUUGGUGGAAUAACUAAACGAUGGCUGGAACAAAGCAAGUGAAGUGCUUCGUUAAAAAUGGUCAACAAUCGAACCACUUCGAAGAGGCCUGCUAGCCAGUCAACAGGUAACAAAAGAGCAAGAAAUGUUCAGGAUGAGGACAUCAGGGAAGAUAUGCCAAAGUCAUCAAGGCAUGGAAUGCCUCAGGUAAACGAGGCAGCGGCUGAGGAGCAAGCUAAACAAGCUAGGAUUAUGAAGAAUGAAAAUCUAUAUUUCAGGAGAUGUCAAACUGAGUUUGUUCAUUUUAUAAAGAUGCUUAAUCCUCGACAGAUUCAAGUUAUCCAUGAGUUAGGCUUUGGUCUGGAAUAGGGUGUUAUUAUUAAAUAAUUAGCGGCAGUAAUUAUUGAAUUGCAUUUGGUUUUAGUAGUAAACUUAUGAGAUAGUUUUUGAUAGAUGGAUGUUUGGUCUUUGUAGUUAAUUUAUGAGAUUUUUUCUGAUGGAUGAAUAUUGGCCCUUUGUGGAAAACUUACGCGUUUUGUUUUGAUGAAUGGAUUUUGGUUUUUGUAGUGAA